AUCACCAGCACCUGAAAAUAAAAGGUUGUGCAUAGGGACUUCUUUCUUUUUAGUAUCAAGUAGACCCAUCCCUUUUUUUAAGUUUCGUAUUCAAAGGAAUAUAUACAGGGCGUUUACCACACCUUGGUUAAAAGUCUUCCACUAGCGCUAUCAUUUAUCUCCUGCUUCCACGAUGGGCUACGUUUGCAUUCUCUUCGUUCUUUCUUUGACAAUAUCAACCGUUGGGGGAUUAAAAUGCUUCGAGUGUGUCUCUGGAAACUUCUUCUCCUGCUUGAAACUCGUUGAAUGUCCCUCAUCCAUGGGUCGCUGUUUCACCACUGGCCAUGGGAAUACCUUGGUCAAGGGAUGUCAAUUCAGUCCUGUGUGUCUCCUGCCAGGGAGCGGUUGCUGCAAAGGCGAUUUGUGUAACUUUGCAAAUUCCAGCAAUAGCAUUGGAUCAAGCUUCAUCCUUCUGCUGUUGUCUACCGCUGCACUGUAUUUCCUCUGAUCAGUGGGUCUGCAUGCACUAACCUGGGGCCAGAUUCAAUAAUGAAUCUCCAGAUAAUGACAUUCUGUUCAUUAUCUGGAGACUAUGUUUGCAUCUAGAUUACAUUUAGGGCCUUAAGCAGAUGCUUUUAUCCAGAACCACUUACAUUUAUUACAUUUGUCGGACGAAAAAGAAAAAACAAUAUAACGCUGUUGGUAGGCCUACAGUGAUGAUGUUUCUGUGUCUGUGUAUGCUAUAGUUUGUGUAUGUCAGACCUAGAAACAAAACAGGCGAAAGGCUUGGUUCAACCCAGGCAAUAUAUUUAUUCUAUGUCACAUGGAGGUUAGUACAAUCAUGUUGGAAAGAUGUUAUGUGAACUGAAAAAUAUAUAUGCACGUUCGUGCUGAAUUGCUUGUAUUAGUGGAAAUUAUGAUUUAAAUGUUUUACUAAAUUGUUCAUGUAUCACACAUAUUUGAUUGCUAAUGUAAUUCAUACUUAAAUAUUAGAAAAAUAAAUAUUUGUAUUGCUUU